UUGGUUCACCCUAACCGGUGACGAAGAGGGAAUCAGGUGCAAGUCCUGAACAGUCCCGCUGCUGUGAGCCGCCUUUAUCGGGUGCAAACACUGAGCCACUGUCUUGGAAAUGACGGGAAGGCGUUUACACCGGGCGGCAAGUCAGAAGACCUGCCGUUGACC
rnacentral:ncRNA from 1 species